UACGUAGGGGGGCAAGCGUUGUCCGGAAUCAUUGGGCGUAAAGAGCGUGUAGGCGGCCCGGUAAGUCCGCUGUGAAAGUCGGGGGCUCAACCCUCGAAUGCCGGUGGAUACUGUCGGGCUAGAGUGCGGAAGAGGAGACUGGAAUUUACGGUGUAGCGGUGAAAUGCGUAGAUAUCGGGAGGAACACCGGUGGCGAAGGCGGCUCUCUGGGCCUGUACUGACGCUGAGACGCGAAAGCGUGGGGAGCAAACAGG
rnacentral:rRNA from 1 species